rnacentral:rRNA from 1 species
UACGUAGGGAGCAAGCGUUGUCCGGAUUAUUGGGCGUAAAGAGCUCGUAGGCGGUCUGUUGCGUCGGCUGUGAAAACCCGGGGCUCAACUCCGGGCCUGCAGCCGAUACGGGCAGACUAGAGUUCGGCAGGGGAGACUGGAAUUCCUGGUGUAGCGGUGAAAUGCGCAGAUAUCAGGAAGAACACCCGUGGCUAAGGCGGCUCUCUGGGCCGAUACUGACGCUGAGGAGCGAAAGCGUGGGGAGCGAACAGG